AUGGCAUUUGUAUCUCUAAGAAUGUCAGUGAACUAUUUGGAUUUCUUGAUCCAAAUAGGACACUAAUUACCACUAGAGAUCCCAAUGCUAUUAAAUCUUACAUACAAGAUAGGUUGGAUGGCGAGUCAAAAAAAUGUUACUUAGGACCAUUGUUAAAUAACAAUCACUGGCAAUUGUAUGUUAUUUGUCCCCAAGAUAAUGAUAUCUUUUGGUUUUGUUCAUUAAACACAAAACCCAAGAAACGUAUUAAGAACAUACUUGAGGGAGCUGUAACAGGAUAUCAGUUAUUAAGAGGUUUUGAGAAUAAAAAGCCUAAUUGGAAGAUUGUCAAGG